UACAGAGGUCUCAAGCGUUGUUCGGAUUCAUUGGGCGUAAAGGGUGCGUAGGCGGCGCGGUAAGUCGGGGUGUGAAAUCUCGGAGCUUAACUCCGAAACUGCAUUCGAUACUGCCGUGCUUGAGGACUGGAGAGGAGACUGGAAUUAGGUGUAGCGGUGAAAUGCGUAGAGAUCAUGAGGAAGACCAGUGGCGAAGGCGGGUCUCUGGACAGUUCCUGACACUGAGACGAAGGCCAGGGGAGCAAACGGGG
rnacentral:rRNA from 1 species